rnacentral:lncRNA from 1 species
CGGGAUCGCGCUAGGUGUUGCUCGAGGACUUGAGUACUUGCACCAUGGCUGCAAAACAAGGAUUGUGCAUUUUGACAUCAAACCUCAAAAUGUACUGUUAGAUGAAAAUCUUUGCCCAAAAGUGUCGGACUUUGGUCUUGCUAAGCUAUGUGAGAAAAGAGCAAGCAUCUUGUCAUUGCUAGACACAAGAGGAACAAUCGGCUAUAUCACACCAGAGGUGUUUUCAAGAAUGUAUGGAAGAGUCUCCCACAAAUCAGAUGUUUAUAGCUAUGGAAUGUUGGUCCUCUAAAUGAUCGGAGAAAGGAACAAAGAAACAGAAGAAACCGUUGCUUCUAACUCAAGUUCAUCUUACUUUCCAAAUUGGAUCUAUAAGGAUCUUGAAAAUGGAAAGCAUACAUGGAAAUUUGGUGAUGAGAUAACUAGAGAGGAGAAAGAGAUUGCAAAGAAGAUGACCUUGGUGGGUUUCUGGUGUAUUCAGCCAAGUCCAUCAAAUCGUCCACCGAUGAACCGGGUUGUUGAGAUGAUGGAAGGAAGUUUGGAUGCUCUUGAAGUUCCUCCUAAGCCUUCUUUACAAUUUUCUACAGAGCAUCUUCCGGAAUCUUCCUCGCUCUCAGAAGAGAAUUCAAACUACUCUGAGGUAUUUAUAGGAUCCACAAGUUGAAAAUCAUUUUCGAUACUUCAUCAUAUACUUGGUGUAAAACCACUCAAGAAAAAAUUAAUUUAAGAAAUGAUUUUGUAUGUUUAAAAUCUAAAAUGUUUAGAAGUAUAUCGUUUUUUUUUGUAUAAAAAAUGAUGUUUAGAAGUAUCUCGUCUUUAUGUGAUGAAUAUUGAAGAGAAAAGUCUUCUAAUGUCAACGAAACAGAGACAAAUGACGAAACAGAGACAAAUGAUUAAACUCUCACCAAGUCUUUUAUUCAUGGUUUAUCCUUCAUUGCUUAUCUGCUCAGCCCAAGCCAAACCCAUCGAAGAUUAAACUAUUCACAGAUCAAUAAUGUUCUCUCCAUUACUCUUCAGAUUCCGAAAACCCAACCCUUGUCAGUAAUGGUCCCUCUUCAGAAGCCAAGAGAAUUCUAGUUCUUAGAAUUGAUAAACGAUUGUUUGGUGGUAGUUAAGACUACCUAUUGUUUUGUUUUUCAUUGAUAUAAAUACUUGGAGUACACCUCCUUACCACUGGAAAUUACAAACUGAAACAAACGUGGAGUUACAACUCCUACAAACGUGGAAACGAUAGGAAAUGGAAUCGUGGAAGAUCCCUACUUAUUGAAACUGAACUGAAACAAAGACUAAGUCAAUUGACUUAGUGUUGGACCUACUGGACAUACUUCGGAUUGGGCCUGCGAUUCCUCAUGGGCCUUCUCCUUUCUCCUUCUUCUCUUCCGCUCUCAUCAGUCUGGUCCUUCUCUUCUUAUCCUAUAUUCACUUUCUUGCUUGUGCUCUAAGUCAACGAGAACAUAUAUGUGAUACUCUGUUUCGUUGUGGGAAUCUCACCGCCGGUUUCCCUUUCUGGGGAGAGUCCCGACCAGAACCUUGUGGUCAUCCUUCUUUGGUGCUUCAAUGUCACCAGAACAAGACUGCCCUAAUUAUCUCAGGUCAGAUGUACCGUGUUCUCCAAAUAGACAAAACAUCUAACCGUCUUAGACUUGCGAGGGACGACUUCUUAAGUGAAUCAUUCUGCUCUGCUACUUUCACCAGCACAACGGUGACUCCUGAGCUCUUUGAGCUUUUGCCAGACUACACGAACCUCUAUGUUUACUAUGGUUGUAACGCUUGUUUUCAAGAUCCCGUGAAUUUCACAUGUCCAAAACUUGGUGUUGCCUCGGUGCAUCGGGAUAAUAACUAUCAUGAAAACUGUGGUGCGAGUUUCAAAAUCAUUGUUCCCACGAGUUAUGUUCCAGAAGGGGAAUCUUUGAAUGUAACCAAUUUGCAAAAUGUUAUUAAAGAAGGAUUUGAGGUGAAGCUGAGGAUUGCUGAGAGGCCGUGUCAAGAAUGUAAAUCCAGUGGUGGAAUCUGCGCCUACCGCGUUGCAACUCCAGUUUGCUGCAAGGCAGCAAACUCGUCAUCAGAACCCAUAUGCACCCCAAUGAUUCCAUCUGGUAAGUUUCUGAACUCUCAGCAAGUUUCUUAAUUAGGAUUAAUAUUGCCUACUUUCACUUAUCUAGUUUUAAAUAUUUUAUUAUUUACCAGGUGUCAAUAGCUUAACUAGUAAACUAUCUCCAGCAAAGCCUAGAUGUUGCUAGUUCGAAUUGCACGUAAUGCUUUGGUUUCUGGCCUAAGAAAAUGUAGAGGCCUAGCCCCGAAACCUUUUCGUUAUUCGAAAAUAUAUAUAUACUAUAACAUCAAAUAAUCAAAUAUUAAGAAACACAUUAUAAGUCUUCUUUUGGCUUGACAAUAAUAUGGCUUAUCUUUGUGAUUCUCUCCCUUGUGUUUUAUCAGUUUAUGAGCACUGCAGUCCUACGUUUAGAUGUGGCAAGCAGACAGAUCUCUAUUACCCCUUUUGGAAACCUGAUAGAGAAGAGUGUGGUCAUCCGGAAUUCAAGGUCAACUGCAGCGUAGAUUUCGCAGAGUUUACUAUAUCUUAUAUUAAGUUUCAAAUCCUUGAAAUGAACCACGACUCUCGUAUCAUAAGACUUGCUAGAAUGGAUUAUCUCAACAAUCUUUGUCCACAAGACCCUGAGAGCGCUUUAAUCAACCAACAAGUCCUUUAAUUUUCUAACGACACUGAAUUGCUAACUUUUUUCUACGAAUGCCCUAGUCCAAGGGUGGAUUUUCCACCUGGCGAUUACAUUAGACAGCUUCAAUGUGGGGAUACUACUGAUGAGCAAAGUUACUUUGUGAGAAAAGAGCACUCAUCUUCAUAUGAGUUGGUUGGAGCCAUCUCAAAUGAGCUAAGGUCCUCUUGCAAAAGAACCAUCGAUAUUCCAGUUUCUCGAUCUGCCUUGAGUAGUAGUGUUAAAACGGGCUACCCGGCCCGUUGAAGCCCGAACCCGUUUAGACCCGAGCCCGUUUAACGAAAUAUUUUGAAGCCCGUUUAGUCGCCUACCCGUUUAAGCCCGUUCAAGGCCCUUGAGGGAAACAGAGAGAAAUCAGAGUCUGGAGACUUUAAAGAAGGCUCUUGAUAAGGGUUUCAAGCUUAGAUUCAACAAUGACUGUUCGCGGUGCCUAACAUCAGGGGGUACUUGUGGAUAUAGUCUACUCUCGAGAAAAUUUGUUUGCUAUUGUAUAGAUGAGACGACUCAUACGCAUACUUGUGGAAAGAAAGGUAAUGGCUCAUUUUUCUCUGUUUUAACUGAUUAUGUUUAGAUUGGUUUCUUGAAACUGAUUUUCUAAUGUUCUUCCAAAAGAACUUAUUUUCUCCAUUUCCUCAGCCACUCCAUAUUCCUAUGCAUGUCAGUUUCAAGCUAAUUUGCUUAAUUCAAGUACGAUUCUAUGUUCUGUCUUGCUUUUGAACUGACCUUUUUUCAUGGUAUUCAUUCAUGCAGAUAUCUCCAGUACAGAUAUAGGUAUAUAUAUUUGUCCUAUUACUUGCCAGGAAACUAAUUGAAGUAGAAGAUACAUACCUAACUAAAAACAUAUUUAUCCCACACAACUCUUGUCUUUUUGUUUGUCACUAGGCAUUGGAUUGGCUUGUGGAAUCUUAGGUGUCACUCUUGUUGCCGGAUGUUUGCGGUUCAUGAUCCAAAAAAGGGGAAGUUCACAACAUCUAAAAGACCAUAAUCUAAAGGCGCUACUACAACUGAAACAGUACAGUUAUGCAGAAGUGAAGAAAAUUACAAAAUCAUUUUCGCAUAUGGUUGGGAAAGGAGGAUUUGGAACUGUUUAUGGAGGAAACCUUUGCAAUGGUCGUAAGGUUGCGGUGAAAAUUUUGAAGGAUUUUAAGAGCAAUGGUGAAGACUUCAUCAAUGAAGUCACAAGCAUGAGCCAAACGUUCAUGUUAACAUUGUUUCUUUGCUUGGUUUCUGCUAUGAAGGGUCCAAAAGAGCGAUUGUGUAUGAGUUUUUAGAGAAUGGGUCUCUCGAACAGUUCAUCUCUAAAGAUAAGCCAAUGAAUUUGGAUGUGAGUACUCUCUACAAAAUCGCGCAAGCUGUUGCUCGAGGACUUGAGUACUUACACCAUGGCUGCAAAACAAGGAUUGUACAUUUUGACAUCAAACCUCAGAAUAUACUUUUAGAUGACACAUUCUGCCCUAAAGUCUCGGACUUUGGCCUCGCUAAGCUCUGCGAGAAAAGAGAGAGCAUAUUGUCUUUGCUAGAUGCAAGAGGAACAAUAGGUUACAUUGCACCUGAGGUGUUCUCAGGAUUGUACGGCAAAAUCUCCCACAAAUCAGAUGUUUAUAGUUAUGGAAUGUUGGUCCUCGAGAUAAUCGGAGCAAAGAACAAAGAAACAGAUAAAACCGUUGCUUCUAACUCAAGUUCAACUUACUUUCCCGAUUGGAUCUACAAAGAUCUUGAAAAUGGAGACCAUACAUGGAAAUUUGGUGAUGAGAUAACUAGAGAGGAGAAAGAGAUUGCAAAGAAGAUGGCCUUGGUGGGUCUCUGGUGUAUUCAGCCAUGUCCUUUAAAUCGUCCACCGAUGAACAGAGUUGUUGAGAUGAUGGAAGGAAGUUUGGAUGCUCUUGAAGUCCCUCCUAAGCCUUCUUUACAUUUAUCAGCGGAGCCUCUUCCAGAAUCUUCUUCAGUUUCAGAAGAGACUUCAAAAUACUCGGAGGUAUUGAUAAAAUCCACAAGUUGAAAAUCUAUUUCUCAAACUUCAUCAUAUAAUUGGUGUAAUUAUGCAUGUGAAAUUAAUUGAAGACAAGAUUUUGUAUGUUUAUAAUCUAAAAUGUUUCAAAGUAUAUCUUUUUUUUUUCAUAUGUGAUGCAUAUACGCGUUACAAAACUUUCCCUUAUACUACUUGAAUAUCUGAAAAAGUGAAAUUUUUAGACUCGUUAACUUAUCCCAAAGUAAUAUUUUCGACUGGGUUAUGAUUUUGUUCAUGCAAUUUUUGGCUGCAUAAAUUGUCUUGUGCUUUUUUCUUCUUUUGACAUGAUGCAAGUAAUUAGAUAUCUUACAUUUCCCCCAACAUUUUUGAUAUCUACGAAUAGAAUGGAAAUAUUAUGAUAUUUGAUACCUUCGUUGUGGUCUAUUAGACUAUUAUACUUGUAUAUCCACAUGAUAUUUUGGGCCAGUCAAGGGCUUAGAUUUGAGUAAACUUUGAAGAGAGCGUUUGAUUUGUCAUAAAAACUGGAAAACAAAUCUUGUUAGAGAUGUGUUUAGUUUAGAAAAUAUAAAUCAUGGUCCUCCAAUUCAACAUCAAUGAACAAUGCGUUAUUGACAUGGUCGGGUCUAAAGACUUAGUAAACCGUAAGCUACGAGAUACUCUUUACGUGAAAUAUCAAAAUAUUGGAGUUGAGGUUUAUAAAUGAAUCUUUCUUAUACGUUAAAUAAAAAAAGAACAGGAGACUUGGAGAAAUUAAAGGACCAAGUCAAGAAUGAAAGCGACAGAAACAUAAAGAGUUAAACUCAAAAUAUAUAAUUUACCUUUUAAGAUACUAAGUUUUAGCAGAAUUUCAAUCCAAAUAUUUACUUGGUUGAUAUUACAGAGCUUAUAUCUUUCUUGUUACAAGAAGUACAAGUUUAUCUCUUUGCAUCUAAUCGAAAUUUAAUUUUAACAACUAACAUCAAACUUGACAAAACAUUCAGACUGAUUGGUUACGGGCUUCCAAAAACUCCUUGUCGAGGAAUCUUGUGUAGGGUCAAUGGAAACUAGUCCUAAUAAUGCUGAAGACGUUUCUACUUCUUGACUUCAUUUCCUUUAAUUUUGUAGAUUUUUCUUUAUAAUUUUGCCAUUCUUAUCGAUUUCACCGAGCGUACAAAUGAAAAUAAACUAUCAAAAAGUGAUGAAUUCUCCAGCAUUAUUAGGGUUUGGUUUGGUGAUAUAUGUCAUAUUUCUGUUCCACAACCUUCCUUGUACUCUAAGCAACCCAGCUCUCUUGUCAUGUGACUCUGUGUUCGACUGUGGAAACAUCACAGCAAGCUUCCCUUUCUGGGGCGAGAAUCGUGGCGAACCUUGUGGUCAUCCAUCUCUGAAGCUUAGCUGCGACCGAGUUUCAAACGAAACCUAUUUAAAUAUCUCCCAAAUCUUGUUCAACGUCCUUCACUUAGACCCCACAUUCAACACUCUUAAACUUGUCAGAGAAGACUAUUCUCGUUCCUUAUGCUCUGUUCGAUCAUUCACACAAACGGAGUUUUCCCCUAAACUCUUUGAGCAAUCACCAGAUUACAAGAACCUCAUCGUUUUCUCCAACUGCAACCCUCACUUUCUUUACCUCCAGAAUUUUACGUGUUCAGGGGGAGGGAUAGGUUCCGUGUAUCAAAAUGAAACAUACUACGGCACUUGUCGAACGAUUUUUAAUGUUACCGUUCCUGUUAAUUUUGUACCUGACAAAGAAGCUUGGAAUUUGGAAAGUGUCUUGAGAGAAGGAUUCGAAGUGAAGCUGAAGAUCAAUGAGAGAUCAUGUAAAAAAUGUUUAAAAUCCGGUGGAUUUUGCAGUUUCGAUAAGUCUGCAACUCAGUUUUGCUGCAAGGAGGACUUUUCUUUUUAUCCAAAUAGAAUAAAAGAGUUUUCCGGUGCGUUACUUGGAAUCAAAUGCACUGAAACCAGUUCUUCUGAUCAUGUUGAAGUCCCAUCUUUGGCCGGAACCGGAACUGCUUCAGGUAGCUUUGGGUUUGUCUUGACGGGUUCUCGAGGUUAGUUUCCUAGCAAGAGAGAUUUUGUUUUGUUUUUGUUUUUUUUUAUUAUUUGAUCAUUCAUGUUAAUAUUUAUUUAACAAUAAUAAAUUGAUUUGCAGCGAUAGUACUUGUUAUAUGUAUGGGAUGUUUGAUUUUGUCAAUGCUCAUAUACUUUCUGAACAAGAUAGAAGCAUUACAAUAUCCAAGAAUUGAGAGUUUUGAGGAACUCGUACCACUGAAGAGGUAUAGCUAUGGAGAAGUGAAGGAAAUCACAAACUCGUUUUCCCAAGAAAUUGGGAGAGGAGGAUUUGGAAUUGUCUAUGGAGGAAACCUCUCUGACGGCCUCAAGGUUGCAGUGAAGGUCUUGAAAGAUUCCAAGAAAAAUGGUGAAGAUUUCAUUAACGAAGUGGCGAGUAUGAGUAGAACAUCUUAUGUUCAUAUUGUUUCUCUGCUUGGUUUUUGCUACGAAGGAUCCAAAAGAGCGAUUAUAUAUGAAUAUGUGGAGAAUGGGUCACUCGAUAAGUUCAUAUCGAGCGAGGCCUCAUUGCGGAUUGAUUUGAGAAAACUUUAUGAGAUAGCACUUGGUGUUGCACGAGGCCUUCAGUAUUUACACUAUGCUUGCAAGACAAGGAUCGUCCAUUUCGACAUAAAACCACAGAACAUACUGUUGGGAAAAGAUUUUUGUCCAAAGAUUUCUGAUUUUGGACUUGCCAAGCUUUGUGGGAGUAAAGAAAGUGUCUUAUGGAUGUCAGAGACGAGAGGGACAAUCGGGUACAUCGCACCAGAAGUGUUUUCAAGAAUGUAUGGUAAAGUCUCUCACAAAUCAGAUGUGUAUAGUUACGGAAUGUUGGUUCUUGAGAUGAUAGGAGCAAGAAAGAGGAACUCUGUAUCCAACAACAACAGCAGUUCAAGGUAUUUCCCAGAUUGGAUCUACAAGGGUCUUGAACAGGGCGAUAGUAAAAGGCUUCUCGGGGAUCAAAUAACAGAAGACGAAGAUGAAGAUUUUUCGAAGAAGAUGGUUCUUGUGGGAUUGUCAUGUAUUCAAGCAUGUCCAUCAGAUCGUCCAUCGAUGAACAGAGUUGUUGAGAUGAUGGAGGGAAGCUUAAGUGCUCUUGAAGCUCCUCCUAAGUAUCUUUUGCAUAUAUCUGCAUCCCCUAUGCCUCCAUCUUCUUGCCCUGAAGAAGAGAACUCAAUCUCCUCUGAAGAAAGUGUAUAAGUUUCAUGUCAAAUAUAUGUCUUAGUCAAACUGUUAUAUGCCUAAAGAAAAAGAUGUGCACAUCCAGUGGCGGAUCUGGAAUCAAUUUCUAAUGGGGUCAAUAUAUGAUACAAAGAAAAAAUGAGGAAUUUAAACAUAUUUUAAUGGGGUCAAUAUAAAGAAUUUAAGAAUUUUAAUGGGUUCAAUAUAAAGAAUUUAAGAAUAUUUUCUAAUUUACUCUUAAUUUUUAAUAGCAAAUAUGUUAAAAUUCAAAAGUUGUUGGGGUCAAAUGACACCACUACCACCAACGUACGUCCGCCACUGUGCACAUCCUUCUGUGUAACUCUUGUAUUAGAGAUCUCUUAAACCGUAAAUGGCUAAACCAUCAAAUUAUGCAUAAUGGUCGUUUUACUUGCCAAAUCUGUCAAAUUAUAUUUGUGUAGAUGAGAUUAUUGCGUUAAUAUUUUGUUAUAUACGCCUAAAUAUGACCAAGUCUUUUUAAUAUUUUGCUGGCCGUGUAGUAGACGUUUUACAUAUAGUUGGGGUCACUUGUGACUUGUGAGAGCCGUGUAGUAGACGUUUAUUAAUUUUCCCAUUCACACUCUCAUUUCCACUAAAAAAUAAAAAAUCAUUUUAUAAUUGAGUUCGUAAAAGUUUUUCUUAUCUAGCUAUCUUUUUUUCUGUUUUUGCAUCCUCUUCUUAGUUUUUCAUUUCAAAAAAAAAAAAAAAAAAAACAGAGGAGCACACCAUGACCAAUCUUUCUCUGCCUCUUACAAAACAUUGGUCCUAUACAAUCAUAUGGAUGCUCUAUGUGAUCCCCUCUUGUGUUUUGUCAGUUGAUUACAAUCGCUGCGGUCAUGCGUUUAGCUGUGGUUAUCAUAUGGAUCUCUAUUAUCCCUUUUGGACACCUGAGAGAAAAGAGUGCGGUCACCCGGAUUUCAAGGUCAACUGCACCGGAGAUUUCGCAGAGUUUAGUAUAUCCACCGUUAAGUUCCGAAUCCUUGAGAUGAACUUCGAGUCUCAUAUCAUACGACUAGCCAUAACGAAUUAUCUCAACUAUCUUUGUAAUCCGAAUCCUGAGAAUGCAACAAUCAACCAAGAUGUUCUUCCGUUUUCUAACGACACCAAGCUGUCAACUUUUUACUACGACACCAAGCUGUCAACUUUUUACUACGACUGCCCUUAUCCAAAGGUAGAGGUUCAACCCAAUGAUGACAUUAGACAGCUUAACUGUAAGGUACAAAUUGGUAGUCGAAGUUACUUUGUCUCGUCACAUUCUGGGGAUAGUGCUAUUUUAGGUCGGUUAAAUGCAUCUUGUGAAAGAAACUUCGGUAUUCCAGUAUCUCAAUCUGCCUUGAAGACAGCAGAGAAAACUCAGAGUCUGGAGGAUGUUUUUAAUGAGGGAUUUGAACUUAGCUUUAACAGUGAGUGUUCCCGAUGUGUAACAUCAGGAGGCGCUUGUGGCUGGAGCUCGACAAAAUUCGUCUGCUAUUGUAAAGAUAAGCCUCGCGAGCAUACAUGCUAUCCCAGAAAGAAGAGUAAUGAUUUCUCUUGCUCUGUUUGUUUGAAAAUUUCAACUAGCUUAAGUUAAUAUGAAUCUCAAUUUGUGUCUGAAUUUGAUUUGCUAAUCUUCUUCCAUACGAACCAAAUCUUUUCCUUUCCUCUUCAAGCUUUGUUUGUUAUGUCUUGAAUUUUAACUGACAUUUCUCAUGGUCUUCUUUCAUGCAGGUCUUUCCAAAAAAGCGAAAAUAGGUAGGUGUCUAUUAAUUUUUUCCUUUCAAGGAAACUAAUUUCAGUUUAACAUACCUAUGUAACAGCAUAAUCUUAUGGAUCUCUUGUCUCUUUGUUCGUCUCGAGGCAUCGGAUUUGCUUGUGGAUUUAUGGGGGCCACUCUUAUCUCAGGAUGUUUGCUCUGUUUCAUGAUCCGAAAGAGAAGAACUUCCUAUCAUCCAAGACACCAAAACCUUAAGGGGCUAGUAGAAAUGAAACAGUACAGUUAUGCAGAAGUGAAGAAAAUUACAAAAUCAUUUUCACACACGGUUGGGAAAGGAGGAUUCGGAACUGUCUAUGGAGGGUACCUCUUCGAUGGUCGUAAGGUAGCGGUGAAAAUCUUGAAGGACGACUUUAAGAGCAAUGGUGAAGACUUCAUCAAUGAAAUCACAAGCAUGAGCCAAACAUCUCAUGUUAACAUUGUUUCCUUGCUUGGUUUUUGCUAUGAUGGGUCCAAAAGAGCAAUUAUGUAUGAGUUUCUAGAGAAUGGGUCACUGGAUCAGUUCAUCUCUAAAAAGUGUUCAUUAAAUCUAGAUGUGAAUACACUAUACAGAGUUGCGCUAGGUGUUGCCCGGGGACUUGAUUACUUGCACCAUGGCUGCAGAAAAAGGAUAGUGCAUUUUGACAUCAAACCUCAAAAUGUGCUGUUAGAUGAAAAUCUAUGCCCUAAAGUCUCAGACUUUGGCCUCGCUAAGCUCUGCGAAAAAAGAGAAAGCAUAUUGUCCUUGAUAGACGCAAGAGGAACAAUAGGUUACAUUGCACCUGAGGUUUUUUCAGGAAUGUAUGGAAGAGUCUCUCACAAGUCCGAUGUUUACAGCUAUGGAAUGUUAGUCCUCGAGAUG